GAAGCGGGCAUGCCGGAGGUUGGAAGUGGCCCAGGACGGGGGCUGCCCCCAGGUGAAGGCGCGCCCCCCCGAGUCCUGGGGCAGCCGGGAGCCCGAGUCACCGGACAGAGGCCGCCUCCCCGCACCGAGGCCGGACGGCGGCCAGGGGCGACCAGGUGUGGAGAGUCUACGGAUCGGUGGAAGGAGCCCGGCCCAGCCUUGCCCGAGGUGCCUCGCCGGGGAGUCCGGACACUUUAACCACACCGAGAAUCGGUAGAAGACGCAGGUUGAAAAGGAAGAUUCCAUCUGUGGUUUUGGACCCUCUGUGCUAGCGGAUGUCACCCCCCCUGGAGGCGUGUGGGUGCCCCCGUCCACAGGGCAGCCGCUGUCCCCAGCCGUGGGUCUCCGCCGUCCUCCACGCCAGAGCCGGCAGCCCCUGUCACUUCAGAAGCACCGCCACGUGGAACUGCUCACCGAGCCUCCUUUCAAGGGCAUCUUGCUUGAGAAGGAGAUCAGUUGCAUUGUUUAAAAGUUUAAAAAAUUCAGUAUCACGCUUCCUGUGAGGUUCGAGGACCCUGUGGCUCAUGGAAGCGUAUCCAGAUGCAGCUCCGUUUUAUACUUUUCUAUCAUUUGGUGGACACACCCAGGUCUUCUCAUGUCCUCUUUUUUAAUGAAAAGUCCUAUUUUUGUAUUCAGAAUGCUCUGUAAUCUUAAAUUGCAUUUUAGUAAAUACCGCACUCCGGUCUGUUGUGUGUGAUUCCGCAGCUGGAGUUGUCAGGCACAGGCCCACUUCUGUAUUAAAAUGGAAGUUUCUCCUUUUCUCUUGGGUUUCGGCGUGUCGUCUGCCUGUGGAGGCUGUGGCCUUGUUCCCUGGGUCUGCAGGUCGCCUGGACACAGGUCCUGGCAAAACCGCUGGGCUAUAGGUUUUGCUCUCGGGUCCUUUCCUAGACAAGCUCCUGCUCUACGUGUGUCCCAGUGUUUCCACGGGGCCGGGUUCCCUGCCAGAGACCGACCCAAAACACGCGGUUCCAUAAGCAGCCCGGGGGGUCACGGAGGAGCUUCGUCCAGGAAGGACGGCCGGGAGGAGACAGGGCGUUGGCAUUAACAGUGCCAUUUGUGUGGAUGGUCCAGGCACAGGGCACGUCGCCAGGCAGCGGGACAGACUGACUUUUCUGCCCCCAGGGUCCUUGAGGGGCUCCGGACAUCUCACCCCAGUAAGAUCGCAGAGCUGUGACGUGAUGAGGAGAUGCCGGUCAAGGCUGAUGGGGAGAAAGGGUUGAGAUUCAUGGCCUUAAAAAUACAUUUUUAAAGAG
rnacentral:lncRNA from 1 species